rnacentral:rRNA from 1 species
AUUGAACGCUAGCGGGAUGCCUUACACAUGCAAGUCGAACGGAGUGGCGAAAGGGUGAGUAAUGUAACGGAACGGGCCCAGUAGCGGGGGAUAAAUACGCGAAAGCGUAGCUAAUAACGCAUACUAUUGGAGGGGGCGAUAUCGGAUUAGAUAGUUGGUGGGGUAACGGCACACCAAGGCGACGAUCCGUAGCUGGUUGGAGAGGACGAACAGCCAAACUGGUACUGAGACACGGCCCAGACUCCUACGGGAGGCAGCAGUGGGGAAUUUUGGACUAUGGGCGAAACCCUGAUCCAGCCAUCCCGCGUGUGCGAUGAAGGCCUUCGGGUUGUAAAGCACUUUUGGCAGGAAAGCGGUACCUGCAGAAUAAGCACCGGCUAACUACGUGCCAGCAGCCGCGGUAAUAC